CCUACGGGAGGCAGCAGUAAGGAAUAUUGCGCAAUGGGCGAAAGCCUGACGCAGCGACGCCGCGUGGGGGAUGAAGGUCUUCGGAUUGUAAACCCCUUUCGGGAGGGAAGAUGGAACGAGCAAUCGUUCGGACGGUACCUCCAGAAGCAGCCACGGCUAACUUCAUGCCAGCAGCCGCGGUAAUACGAAGGUGGCAAGCGUUAUUCGGAUUUACUGGGCGUACAGGGAGCGUAGGCGGUUCGGUAAGCCCUCUGUGAAAUCUCCAGGCUUAACCUGGAACAGUCGGAGGGGACUGCUGGGCUAGAGGACGGGAGAGGAGCGCGGAAUUCCCGGUGUAGCGGUGAAGUGCGUAGAGAUCGGGAGGAAGGCCGGUGGCGAAGGCGGCGCUCUGGAACGUAUCUGACGCUGAGGCUCGAAAGCGUGGGGAGCAAACAGGAUUAGAUACCCUGGUAGUCCACGCCUUAAACCAUGAAUACUAAGUGUCGGCGGGUUACCGCCGGUGCCGCAGCUAACGCAUUAAGUAUUCCGCCUGGGAAGUACGGCCGCAAGGCUGAAACUCAAAGGAAUUGACGG
rnacentral:rRNA from 1 species